UUACACAGUGAAUCUUCCCAGUCUCGAGAGGAGAAGCAUUUCUAAGUUUAUUUUUUAAAUUUUAUUUUAUUUUUCAGGCAAAGACGUUACUUUUGGAAUAUUUUAUUAACUUCGAAACAACUACAGUUUGCUGCUCAUCUUGAUGUGGAGAAUGAAAUCGGCAUGGCCAGUGACAUCAUGCAGAGACCGAUUAUUUACAGAUAACAGAGAAAUUCCUUAAAAUUUCAUUUAUGAAUGACUUAAGAAUAUGUGUAUAUUUUCUCUUAACAUGAACCCUAUUGUCUUCUAUUCACAAGGGGAACAAGUUUUAUUGCGUUAUUCCACCAUGCAUUCAGUGGAAAUGUUUCAUAGGUUGCCUUGAGUUUGGGCAUUUGUGUUUCAAUUCUUAAUGGUUGAAUAGGGCAUAUAGUUAAUGGAAAUAAACAUGGUUAGGAAUGUCGGUAAACCUCAAAGAAUCUCCUAUUCAAACUUUAACUGAUGCUGAAGUGUAUUUUCGAGUGCACAAAUCUUUUGUCUUACGUUGAUCAAUAUUAAAAUAUUGCAGUUGAGCGAUUGAAGUAAUGGUUUUUAUUGGAUAAUCGCUUCAUUAUACAAAAUCCUAUUGCACAAAUUUCCAUAAACGUGAACAGAAACAUAGAACAAUGCCUUUUGUAGAGCUUCCUAACCAUGUUUAUUUUCUAUUAACUAUGAAUAGGGCCAUAAAUUCUCAAAAAAAUUAGUGCAAAUUUAGAGAAAUUCUAUUGAUUAGAUUUAUACGAUAUAUAGUUUAUGUGAUGUAGUUUAUGUGAUGUAAUUUAUAUCGCGUAAAACACUUCCACUCGUUUUAAAUACUACAUAAGGCCAUAGUUAAUAUAUUAACUAUGAUAAGGCACUCAGCUCGUUUUUUAUUUCUUAAGUAUUGUACAGUGGGAUGUUGAGAGAACAAUAGAGAAUGGCGUAAGUUUUCUAUUCCUGAGAGAACAAUAGAGAAUGGCGUAAGUUUUCUAUUUCUUAAGUAUUGUACGACAGGAAAGUUGAGAGAGCAAUAGAGAAUGGCGUAAAACACUUAGCCACCGUUAUUGUUUUUACAAACUUCUUUCGUGUUCUCACAUAACUCAAAAAACGUGUAUUAUAUAAUGCUUUAGAGCUCAAUAAAAUCAUCC